ACAGAGGUGCCGAGCGUUAGGCGGAAUCACUGGGCUUAAAGCGUGUGUAGGCGGACGCCUAAGUACCUUGUGAAAUCCCCCGGCUCAACCGGGGAACGGCUGGGUAUACUGGGCGUCUUGAGACACCUAGGGGCGAGCGGAACAGGCGGUGGAGCGGUGAAAUGCGUAGAUAUCGCCUGGAACGCCGACGGUGAAAACAGCUCGCUGGGGGUGUUCUGACGCUGAGACACGAAAGCUAGGGGAGCAAACAGGA
rnacentral:rRNA from 1 species